GCCAACCCUAAGAUUCAAAAUUCGCCCGAUUCCAGUUGGAUUUGAAUGCUACUGAUCGUGAAUUCUUCAUGAGGGAAUCUCAAGGGCCAUGUAGUAUCAAUUUGGGGUUAUUUGGUGCAACUAGGGUUUUGGCCUGAAAAACUCAAAUUGAAUUUCGAACAGUUCUGGCAAAAUUCGAGGGUCAGGGGCUUGGGGGUUUGAUAGAGGAGGUUGUGGUGGUACUAUGGUGUAAGUUUGGUGGUGUUUGGUCUACUUUGAGUCAUGACCAGAAAAGUUUCAAUCCAAUAUUUUACGGGAUAGGGUGUGAUUCGAAGGUAACAGAAGGUGGAUUUGGGAAGAGGAGGAGAAGGAGAACCAGGAGUGUAAUUUUUAUGGUGUCUGGAGAGGGGCCGCCGCCGUGAGCGACUUCCGGCGGUGGCGUUAAACAGGCCUGUG
rnacentral:lncRNA from 1 species